rnacentral:rRNA from 1 species
UACGUAGGGGGCAAGCGUUGUCCGGAAUUAUUGGGCGUAAAGAGCGCGUAGGCGGUCCGAUAAGUCGGCUGUGAAAGUCAGGGGCUCAACCCUUGGAAGCCGGCCGAUACUGUCGGACUAGAGUCCGGAAGAGGCGAGUGGAAUUCCCGGUGUAGCGGUGAAAUGCGCAGAUAUCGUAAGGAAGACCAGUGGCGAAGGCGGGUCUCUGGACAGUUCCUGACGCUGAGGCACG